AGAGUUUGAUCCUGGCUCAGGACGAACGCUGGCGGCGUGCUUAACACAUGCAAGUCGAACGGAAAGGCCCUUCGGGGUACUCGAGUGGCGAACGGGUGAGUAACACGUGGGUGAUCUGCCCUGCACUCUGGGAUAAGCCUGGGAAACUGGGUCUAAUACCGGAUAGGACCACACACUUCAUGGUGAGUGGUGCAAAGCUUUUGCGGUGUGGGAUGAGCCCGCGGCCUAUCAGCUUGUUGGUGGGGUAAUGGCCCACCAAGGCGACGACGGGUAGCCGGCCUGAGAGGGUGACCGGCCACACUGGGACUGAGAUACGGCCCAGACUCCUACGGGAGGCAGCAGUGGGGAAUAUUGCACAAUGGGCGCAAGCCUGAUGCAGCGACGCCGCGUGAGGGAUGACGGCCUUCGGGCUGUAAACCUCUUUCAGUAGGGACGAAGCGAAAGUGACGGUACCUACAGAAGAAGGACCGGCCAACUACGUGCCAGCAGCCGCGGUAAUACGUAGGGUCCGAGCGUUGUCCGGAAUUACUGGGCGUAAAGAGCUCGUAGGUGGUUUGUCGCGUUGUUCGUGAAAACUCACAGCUUAACUGUGGGCGUGCGGGCGAUACGGGCAGACUAGAGUACUGCAGGGGAGACUGGAAUUCCUGGUGUAGCGGUGGAAUGCGCAGAUAUCAGGAGGAACACCGGUGGCGAAGGCGGGUCUCUGGGCAGUAACUGACGCUGAGGAGCGAAAGCGUGGGUAGCGAACAGGAUUAGAUACCCUGGUAGUCC
rnacentral:rRNA from 1 species